UACGAAGGGUGCAAGCGUUACUCGGAAUUACUGGGCGUAAAGCGUGCGUAGGUGGUGAGUUAAGUCUGAUGUGAAAUCCCCGGGCUCAACCUGGGAAUGGCAUUGGAUACUGGCUCGCUAGAGUGCGGUAGAGGGUGGUGGAAUUCCCGGUGUAGCGGUGAAAUGCGUAGAUAUCGUAAGGAAGACCAGUGGCGAAGGCGGGUCUCUGGACAGUUCCUGACGCUGAGGCACGAAGGUCAGGGGAGCAAACGGG
rnacentral:rRNA from 1 species